GAGGUUGUGGCUCAGCGGCAGAGCGCACGCCUAGCAGAUGCAAGACCCUGGGUUCGAUCCUCAGCACCACA
rnacentral:tRNA from 1 species